rnacentral:rRNA from 1 species
UGGGGAAUAUUGGACAAUGGAGGAAACUCUGAUCCAGCAAUUCUGUGUGUGUGAAGAAGGUUUUAGGACUGUAAAACACUUUUAGUAGGGAAGAAAAAAAUGACGGUACCUACAGAAGAAGCAACGGCUAAAUACGUGCUAGCAGCCGCGGUAAUACGUAUGUUGCGAGCGUUAUCCGGAAUUAUUGGGCUUAAAGGGCAUCUAGGCGGUAAGACAAGUUGAAGGUGAAAACCUGUGGCUCAACCAUAGGCUUGCCUACAAAACUGUUGAACUAGAGUACUGGAAAGGUGGGUGGAACUACACGAGUAGAGGUGAAAUUCGUAGAUAUGUGUAGGAAUGCCGAUGAUGAAGAUAACUCACUGGACAGAAACUGACGCUGAAGUGCGAAAGCUAGGGGAGCAAACAGG